AUGGGUUCAUCCCCAUCCCUGUUCCCCAGAGCUUGUCCCUGUCACCGUGGGCUCAGCCCGAUCCCCAUUCCCCAGGGCCCGUCCCGUUCCUCAUUCCCUGGGGCCGGUUCCCACUCCCCGGGUCCCAUCCCAGUCCCUGGGGCCCGUCCCCGUCACCAUGCGGGCCCGUCCCGGUUCCCGGGGCCCCAGCCCCGUCACGGUUACCUGUGUCCGCUCCCGGGCGGCGCCGGUGCCGGUGCGGUUCCCCCCGCAGCGGCAGCGGCGGAGCUGGCGCUGGAUGCGGCGGAGGCGGCGGGAGUUGUCCCUCAGGAGCGCGGCCAGCCGGGCCCCGCCGGCCCGCACCGCGCGCUCCAGCCCCGCCACGCGCCGCUCCAGCCGCUCCAGCCGCCGCUCCGCCGCCGCCACCGCCCGCAGCGACAGCGCCGCCGGGGCCGCCCCGCGGGGGCCCGCGCCGGGAUCGGGGCCCGCGCCCUGCCAGGCCUCGGGCGCCCACUCGGGGUCCUGCUGCGGGGGGAAGAGGGCGGUGAGGUGCGGCCGGGCCCGGGGUCCCGCCGGGGGUGGCGGUGCCGGGGGGGUCCCGCCGCUACCUGUGCGCGGCCCCACCGGGCCAUGGCCGCCCUCACCGCCGCGCGCCGCAGCGCCCCCUGCCGGCCCAGCGCCGCCCGCGCCGCCCCUCCCGCGGCCGCCGCUCCGAGACCCCGGCCCGGCCCGGCCCCAUCCGCAGCCCAUCCCAUCCUAUUCCAUCCCAUCCACAGCCCAUCGCAUCCUAUUCCAUCCCAUCCCAUCCUAUCCCAUCCCAUCCUAUUCCAUCCCAUCCCAUCCACAGCCCAUCCCAUCCCAUCCACAGCCCAUCCCAUCCUAUUCCAUCCCAUCCCAUCCACAGCCCCAUCCCAUCCACAGCCCAUCUCAUCCUAUUCCAUCCCAUCCCAUCCACAGCCCCAUCCCAUCCUAUCGACAGCCCAUCCCAUCCCAUCAACAGCCCCAUCUCAUCCCAUCGACAGCCCACUGACAUUCCAUCCCAUCCCAUCCCAUCCCAUCCCAUCCCAUCCACAGCCCCAUCUCAUCCCAUCCACAGCCCCAUCUCAUCCCAUCCCAUCCCAUCCCAUCAACAGCCCCAUCCCAUCCACAGCCCCAUCUCAUCCCAUCAACAGCCCAUCCCAUCCCAUCCCAUCCCAUCCCAUCCCAUUGACAGCCCCAUCCCCACCCCAUCCCAGAAUGGGUCAGGUUGGAAGGGACCACAGUGCCUCAUCUGGUCUCACUUCCCUGCUCAGUCAGGGCUGUCCCAGAGCACGGGGCACAGGAUUGUGUCCAGACCAUUCUGGGAUAACUCCAGUGAGGGAUAACUCCAGUGAGGGAGGCUCCACACCCUCUCUGGACAACCUGUUCCAGUGCUCAGUCACUGCACAGGGAAGAAGUUCUUCCUCCUGUCCAGGUGGAACUUCUGGGCAGCAGUUCCUGCCUGUUCCUCUUGUCCUGUUGCCAGAUCCCACAGCAAAGAGCCAGGCUCUAUCAGUCCUGUCCCAUCCUAUCUCCAUCCCCAUCCCAUUCUGUCACAUCCCACCCCAUCCCUAUUCCAUCCUUGUCCCGUUCCCAUCCAUCCCCACCCCUGCAAUGGGGAUCACAUCUCCAGCGCCCAAAUCCUCAGUGCUCAGCGACCCCCAACACCAUUCCCAGAGGCCCAUCUGGACCCCAAAUCCCAUCCCACCCCAUCCCCAUCUCAGACUGGGACUGCAGCCCCCAGCAGCAGGUGACACCCCCCACCCAGUGUUCAGUUCUCACUCUUCCAUCACUCCACACCAUGGAUCCCAUUCCUGGUGCCACCCACCCAGCCAGACCCGGCAGGACCCUCCCGGAGCCCCCUCAAGGAAUCCACACUCAGCAUCAUGGUUUCUACAGCAUCUAUUGGCACUCUCCAGAAAAGGGACCCACUCCCAGCAUCCCACCCGCCCCACCAGGGCUUGGGAAUGA
rnacentral:lncRNA from 13 species